rnacentral:rRNA from 1 species
AGAGUUUGAUCCUGGCUCAGAUUGAACGCUGGCGGUAUGCUUAACACAUGCAAGUCGAACGGAAACGAUACUAGCUUGCUAGUAGGCGUCGAGUGGCGGACGGGUGAGUAACGCGUAGGAAUCUACCUAAUAGUGGGGGAUAGCCCGGAGAAAUCCGGAUUAAUACCGCAUAAUCUCUAUGGAGUAAAGGGGCCCUCUUCUUGAAAGGUUUCGCUAUCAGAUGAGCCUGCGUAAGAUUAGCUAGUUGGUGAGGUAAAAGCUCACCAAGGCGACGAUCUUUAGCUGGUCUGAGAGGAUGAUCAGCCACACUGGGACUGAGACACGGCCCAGACUCCUACGGGAGGCAGCAGUGGGGAAUAUUGGACAAUGGGGGCAACCCUGAUCCAGCAAUACCGCGUGUGUGAAGAAGGCCUGAGGGUUGUAAAGCACUUUCAAUUGUGAAGAAAAGUUAAUAGUUA